rfam:Bacillus sp. SGD-V-76 genomic scaffold Scaffold5, whole genome shotgun sequence.
AGGUGAUGUCUACUUACCUGUAUCAAUGGAGACACUCGACCGUGCUGUGGGUUACAAAACCUUAGACGCUAGUCGUCAAAAGUGUGGUGUGAGGAUAGGUUAGAUGCCUA